UUUUUUUUUUAUUUCAUUUUUUCACCAGAAUCACAAAGUCAAGUUAACAGUAAGCACAUUUACAUAGUGUUAAAAAAAGACUUUCUAUAAAGGUGAUUUGGUGGCAGAUUGAUAUUUGUUGUGGUUUGUGAUUAAGUUUGGAACUUUUAUGGACUUUCUUUAGUCUCUUUGAGGUUUUAUCCUGCAGUGUCCAACACAGGAUGAGAUGAGAAGACCCUGAGGCUUUUAUGGCUGAAAGAGGAGAGUCUGACAACAAUAUAUUAAGUUAUUCUGGUUAGAAUAAUGAAACGUUUCAAAAGGAAAGCAACUUCUAACACAAUAGUUCAUAGUUUCUCAGAAAAUGAAACUAACUUGUCCAGUAGGGGGCAGCGAUGGUACAGAGUUUUGUUUCACAAGAAAUCAGCCCCCUUUAUAAGUCAGUGGAGUUUGCAUGCUGGACGGCAUAAAAAGAUUCCAAGAGGGAGGAAGAACAAUCAUCUAUACGUUUCUAUCAUCCACUAUGGGGCUGCUCACUUUAGCUGCCGCAGCUGCAGGACUAGGUGUGAGUGUGGCGACUGCUCCUGUUUUCAUCGGAACUCUUGGCCUCACCACAACUUUUGCCUUUUAUACUGGUGGAAUGACAACAGCUGUGAUACCAGUUGGAGUGGCCAAUUUGGGAACUGCUGCCGCCGCAGCCGUGGGGAGUGUUGGAGGAGCUGUGGGAGCCCUGGUCGCACUCAUCUGAGGCAGAAAAAGAAUCCAGAUCACAAAGGACAAAUGCUGUCUGGAUGAUGAAAACAAUAAAAAAGUUUGAUUCCAAUUCUUUGAAUUCUUUUUUUUUCUUUUUAAUGAUUCAAUCCCUGGGAUUUCAGAAUAU
rnacentral:lncRNA from 1 species